GUAAGUUAUGCUAACUUGCUACAGGUCUUGGAAAUAGAAAGGAAGAGAGACGGUUUCAAGAGAGGUGUCUAUGAACAGAUCAUUGCAAUAUUUUUCACAAGUUAAUUCUGUGAAGGGCAUCUUAUGUUCUGUAAUGACAACUUCUUGUGCAUGACUGUCAAUCCAUCUGUUUUAUUUUGUGGGUUAGUUGAUGAGAGAAAAUUGUAUUUGUUGGUACAGGGUUAUGCCUUAGAUGAGUGGUACAAAGAUAGGUCACAAAACUGAGAACUAAGCAUUUUUUUUCCCUUCAGCUUAUGUAUUUGCAAAGAAUGAACUACAUAGAUCUGGCUCCUCACAGAUUCUGUCAUGUUUACUAAAUAAAUUCAAAGGAAAGGAAAAAUUGUUAUCAGUGAUAGAUAUACUGGAUGGAGAAAUGGGAGAAUCGUCUUCUUUUUUUUUUUUUUUUUUUUUCUCUCUGGUGUCCAGGGAAAUGACCUAAGCAGAAGCUACCAGCAUAUUCUGGUAGUGCAAAGAUGGGAAUCAGCUCCACGUGGUUCCCACUGUCUCAUUUUUGAUAUUUAUGUAUAUUUCGGAAGAAGAACUAAAAAUCUCUGCUUAAGUAUAGCUUUUGUGUUGUGGACAUUAGGAGGAGAUACUUACAUACUUCCUAUUUCAAACAAGAAAAUAAACAAUAAAAGAAGAGGAGAAAUUGCUAGCAGAAGCAAAAUAAAAUGGAUAGCAAAGCACGUAGCAUAGGUCUCAUAAGUGAUCUAGCCUAUGCAUCACAAUGAAGUCUCCUUUCUUGGUCAGAUGGUGCCUAAAACAUAAGCCUAAGAGUGCAUAGGCCAUGGAUGUCCAUCCUUCACCAGACUCAUGAUGUUCUCAGAUGGUUCAGCAUAGGGUUGGUAGCAUUCCAACAAAACCAAAAGUAAGGAACAAUAAAGGCCUCUGAAGAUUUGGACCUUGGACUACUCGGUGCUGAAUGGAGCCUAACUAAACCCAAUAAUGUGUAUCUCAGUCCACAUUCUACCACAUGUAACACUGCUACCUCAACAGCUAUCAGAGAUGUGCAAAAUAAAAUGGUGAAAGACUGUAAACUGCUUUGGUACAUCACAAAGAAGACUGUAAUCAUACAUAGUUUGUGGAUAUAUUUAUUUUCUUUUUCUCUGCCAUUUUAAGAAUAGCAAUAAAACUGUUAAUAUUUGCUGUCUUCUAUACCAGAAGUAAAAAAUUGCAAGUGAC
rnacentral:lncRNA from 1 species